UCAAUAAGCGGAGGAAAAGAAACCAACAGGGAUUGCCCCAGUAACGGCGAGUGAAGCGGCAACAGCUCAAAUUUGAAAUCUGGCCCUCGGGUCCGAGUUGUAAUUUGUAGAGGAUGCUUUUGGCGAGGUGCCUUCCGAGUUCCCUGGAACGGGACGCCAUAGAGGGUGAGAGCCCCGUCUGGUCGGACACCGAGCCUCUGUAAAGCUCCUUCGACGAGUCGAGUAGUUUGGGAAUGCUGCUCAAAAUGGGAGGUAUAUGUCUUCUAAAGCUAAAUAUUGGCCAGAGACCGAUAGCGCACAAGUAGAGUGAUCGAAAGAUGAAAAGCACUUUGAAAAGAGGGUUAAAAAGUACGUGAAAUUGUUGAAAGGGAAGCGCCUAUGACCAGACUUGAGCCCGGUGAAUCAUCCAGCGUUCUCGCUGGUGCACUUUGCCGGGCCCAGGCCAGCAUCAGUUUGGCGCGGGGGAUAAAGGUGACGGGAAUGUGGCUCCCUCGGGAGUGUUAUAGCCCGCUACGUAAUACCCUGCGCCGGACUGAGGUACGCGCAUUGCAAGGAUGCUGGCGUAAUGGUCAUCAGCGACCCGUCUUGAAACACGGACCAAGGAGUCGUCUUCGUAUGCGAGUGUUCGGGUGUCAAACCCCUACGCGUAAUGAAAGUGAACGCAGGUGAGAGCUUCGGCGCAUCAUCGACCGAUCCUGAUGUUCUCGGAUGGAUUUGAGUAAGAGCAUACGGGGCCGGACCCGAAAGAAGGUGAACUAUGCCUGUAUAGGGUGAAGCCAGAGGAAACUCUGGUGGAGGCUCGCAGCGGUUCUGACGUGCGAAUCGAUCGUCAAAUAUGGGCAUGGGGGCGAAAGACUAAUCGAACCUUCUAGUAGCUGGUUUCCG
rnacentral:rRNA from 1 species